rnacentral:rRNA from 1 species
GAACAGAUAAGGAGCUUGCUCCUUUGACGUUAGCGGCGGACGGGUGAGUAACACGUGGAUAACCUACCUAUAAGACUGGGAUAACUUCGGGAAACCGGAGCUAAUACCGGAUAACAUAUUGAACCGCAUGGUUCAAUAGUGAAAGGCGGCUUUGCUGUCACUUAUAGAUGGAUCCGCGCCGUAUUAGCUAGUUGGUAAGGUAACGGCUUACCAAGGCAACGAUACGUAGCCGACCUGAGAGGGUGAUCGGCCACACUGGAACUGAGACACGGUCCAGACUCCUACGGGAGGCAGCAGUAGGGAAUCUUCCGCAAUGGGCGAAAGCCUGACGGAGCAACGCCGCGUGAGUGAUGAAGGUCUUCGGAUCGUAAAACUCUGUUAUUAGGGAAGAACAAAUGUGUAAGUAACUAUGCACGUCUUGACGGUACCUAAUCAGAAAGCCACGGCUAACUACGUGCCAGCAGCCGCGGUAAUACGUAGGUGGCAAGCGUUAUCCGGAAUUAUUGGGCGUAAAGCGCGCGUAGGCGGUUUUUUAAGUCUGAUGUGAAAGCCCACGGCUCAACCGUGGAGGGUCAUUGGAAACUGGAAAACUUGAGUGCAGAAGAGGAAAGUGGAAUUCCAUGUGUAGCGGUGAAAUGCGCAGAGAUAUGGAGGAACACCAGUGGCGAAGGCGACUUUCUGGUCUGUAACUGA